rnacentral:rRNA from 1 species
AUUGAACGCUGGCGGCAGGCCUAACACAUGCAAGUCGAGCGGAGCGGCGGACGGGUGAGUAAUGCCUAGGAAUCUGCCUGGUAGUGGGGGAUAACGUACGGAAACGGGCGCUAAUACCGCAUACUAUCAGAUGAGAAGAGGGCGGAUUAGCUCGUUGGUGGGGUACAGGCCUACCCAGGCGACGAGCCGUAACUGGUCUGCGCGGCUGAACAGUCACCCUUGAACUGAUACACGGUCCAGACUCCUACGGGAGGCAGCAGUGGGGAAUAUUGGACAAUGGGCGAAAGCCUGAUCCAGCCAUGCCGCGUGUGUGAAGAAGGUCUUCGGAUUGUAAAGCACUUUAAGUUGGGAGGCGUUACCAACAGAAUAAGCCCCGGCUAACUUCGUGCCAGCAGCCGCGGUAAUAC